CCUUUUCCCGAACCCAUCCCUUAGAUUCCACCUGUUUUGUCCUCUGACAAACAUGCAGUCAACAGGAAUCCCACCGUGGAGCCUUUUCCAGAAGGCCAUGAAGAGCGUCAUGUUUGGUAUGGGCUGCUUCUGGGGAGUUGAGAGGCUUUUUUGGCAAAUGCCAACUGUUUUUUUCCACUCAGGUGGGCCACGCCGG